GCCCAUGAAAAUGCCGCAUCGUUUCAACAAUAAUAAUAUCGGCUAAUCGUGUCGGUAGGUCUGGGCCAAAGGCAGCACCUUUAACAUUCGCUUCCUGGGUUUGGCGCUCUGAGUAAUUACAAGCCUAGUCUUGGACCAGGCCUGAGUGGGAGCUCGUCAAUAUGUGCGUAUAUCUCAAGCUUGCGUGAAUUGCAUCACGAGACAUUUGCAUGAUGUGUGGGGGGUGUGUUGAGCUGAUGAAUUGCAGUUACUUGAGCAGAUUGCGGUCUUCGCAUCGAGCAGCGGAGGAGACCGGCAGAGUGUAAGUCUUACACAAUCUAGAGAAUGCAGCUGUGAUCAUACUCAGCAAUAAGCCUCUGCCACAAAUUUGAAUCCUCUCGUUUCCGCCACAGAGAUCACCUCACGUUCUCUCCUCCUCUCAACCUGCAUACCGCUGCUAGAAUCAGGAAGUGAUCAAUAAAACAAGAUAUCUGCGACGUAAAGUCAAUUAGCCCGAGAUCGACUGUGUUCCGCAGAAUUUGGAGAUCUGAAUGAUAUUGUUACUUAUGCCCUAAAAUUCGAUAUUUCUCGAGCGACAUGCGUUGAAAAACAUCUGUCCGAUGCAAGAAUUGCUUUUUUUCGACUUAUGAGCCUCGUUAAGCCACCAGGAGGAACUGGUGUUGUUACAAGUUCAGUUGGUGAUCUUAUGUCGUGCAUAAGAGCAGCGUGGUUUUUAGUUUUCACACAUAAUGCUCCGGCCUAAACUAUGUUGUAGGAUGUGGUUUCGAGCGAUGAAGAUGUAGGUGCUGAACCUUAAGAGAAGUGGCUUUAGCUUCGUAGUGUAGGGAGCCCCAAAAUGUAAUCACCGGAAAUUCAUAAGAAGCCGCAAGAACCCAUCUGCAAAAGUACUUAGGAGCGCAUUGCGGUCAUCCAUAACAUGGCUUGUACCCGAAGUGGAGGCUCGAUUACACUGGACUCGACGAUCGUGCUGCCUAUGCUAACUGUGAAAGUAGAGGCUGGUUUCUCUGUACAACUUCUCAAGGAUAAGUCUAUCAAGGAAGAGAUCAACCUUGAUAGACUUAUCAUAAUGUGAAAAACCUCAAAAGCAAGGUACUAAAAGUUUUCGUUGAAAGUACUGAGAGUUCGAUCUCAUCGUAGGAGGCAGCCCGUGCAACUUCAACAGCAACAACUGCCACACACGCACUGAACUGGAAGGCUAGCACUCAAAUAUGUUCCUCGAGUUCACACGCACUGUCACAGACAUCCGUGAGCUGAUCAUUAACUUGCUGGAAUGAGAAGGAAGAUGGGUCACAAAAUUUUGCAGCUAUCAACUGAGCAGGGUUCUGCAACGAUAACUUAUCAAGCUGUUAUAACUCUUGCCAUUUCAUUCUGGCGUCUUUUUAUUCAUUGUAACUUGUACAAAACCUUCUGGUAUCGUGAACCAUGUUCUUGAUACUGAAAUGAAAGACUCGCCCUAUCUGUUUCAUUUCUGCUGCACAAAGGUAAGUUUUGAUGAUACGAGUUUCUGUCGUAUACAUCGACACUUGAAGACCUCAAUGGGACCCUAAACCCUUGCUUUAUC